AGCGAUCCAUCAUGUCCCCAUUGGUGGGGGCUGGUGGUGACAGAAAAAUUACCCCAGGGAUAACAGAGUCGUCACGGGCAAUAGCUCACAUAGACCUCGUGGCUUGCUCCCUCGAUGUCGGCUCUUCCUAUCCUGGUCGUGCAGCAGCGACCAAGGGUGAGGCUGUUCGCCUAUUAAAAGGGAACGUGAGCUGGGUUUAGACCGUCGUGAGACAGGUCGGAUUCUACCUGUUGGAGGUGUUGGCUGCCUGAGGGUAGGGUACCCUCAGUACGAGAGGAACGGGGUUCCGCGGCCUCUAGUCUACCGGUUAUCCGAUAGGGUAUUGCCGGGCAGCCACGCCGUAACCGGUAAGGGCUGAAAGCAUCUAAGCCCGAAACGGAUCCCGAAAAGAGGCAGCCAUUCUCUAGCUAGGUCUUUGUGACGCUCGGGACAGGUGACUGUAACGAGCUGCUAGGGACGAGGACACCCAUAGAAGAUGGGUUUGAUGGAACCGGGGUGUACGCGCCAAGCUUCGGCGAGGCGUUCAGCCCGCGGUCCCCAACAGUCCGAGUGUGCGGGUCC
rnacentral:rRNA from 1 species